rnacentral:lncRNA from 1 species
GGGUGGGCGGUGACGCCCGCGCCUCACAGCCGGGCUCCUCCUCCUGCUCCUCCUCCUUGCCAGUGAAGCCUGGGCACCCGCUCCCUUGGGUCCCUGCCCCAGUAUCCCCGGGCCAGAGCGCAAGGCUCGGGGACUGUGCGGGCCUGGCGCGCCCGGAGGAAGGCUCCUGGCUCCCGGGUGACAUCCUUCACCCUAGGAGAAAUCAGGUCGUUGCCCUCGGUGCUGAGGCGCCAUGCGCUCCCCGCGGACUUAGUUCCUCUACGGGGUUCUCCACCGGAUUAUUCCCGGUCUCAGCUGCCACCUCUGGACACUCGCAUUCUCAUGACCAGUCGAAAAACCGUUCUUGCUACUACGGGGGACCUGAGUACCCGCCACGCAAAGAAGUGACCUUUCCUGGCCUGCCCUCGGCUCAUCCUCUUCCUCCCCAGCGCCACGCGUGGCUGAGACGCCAGGGAAACUCUACCGAUGCCGAGAGGAUGGGGGUGGAGUGCCUUGAUGACAGGGUGAUGAGCAGCCCCCUGAAACAGGCCAGACUUCGGGACCUCGAAGGGCAGGGGACAGCAGAGCGGUCUGUGUCAGCUCCAGCAGCGACCGAUCUGCCCCCUCUUUUGGAUUAAAAACCCCCAGUGGCAGGCUUUGUUUGCAAAGGUCGCUGUCUUCCCCAUCUUUCAUUCUCUACUUUUUCCCCCUGGUGCUCACAAUUCGCUCAUUUUACUUCUGUCUACUUGCCUCUGUGGAGCCCACGCACAAUAAAGGGACCGCACAUCUAGCGAAUGCUUGGAGUGCGCCUUUCUUUACAUCCCAGUUUGACAGUUGGGUAUACAAACGGGCGCAAGGCCGGCGCCAGAGAGCCCCAGCAGCCUAAGCGCUGCUGCGCCCCUGGGCUUCGGGGCCCGGUAGAAGCGCUAACUGGCGUUUGCACUAGGGUAACCCAGCGCAAAAGGACACCCGGCACGGGCGCUCGGUUUUCUGAGCCCUACUUUCUUUUCAGAGCCCGCUGGGAUGUGUAGUUCCUUCUCUCGCUGUCCAACUCAGGGAGGAAACGUGACUUGAGGAUCUAAAACUACAAGUCCCUGCAACCCCUGCGACGAAGGCGGGGAAGCAAGGUACUGGGCUUUGUAGUACUCAGCGUUUGGAGAGCCACAAAGACAGCUUUGGAAAAGAUGCUUUCUCUGUGCCGGGUGGAUAUUUGCACACUGCCUGCGUUCUGUGUAAUCCUCACCACAACCCUGCGAUGCACUAUUGUACCAAGCUCAAAGAACUGCUUGCCCAACACUACAGAGCUGCCCAGUGAUAGAAAUGGCACUGAACCCAGAGCUCUGUCUUUCCCUUACAGAGCACGCCUCAGUGCUCAGUGUCAAAGAUAGAUAAGCUUGGCUAGCCAAAAGAGAAAAAGGAUGUAACCAGCUAGGAAAUGGGGGCGAUAGAAAUGGUAAUUAGAUGGGACAGGGAAUUACAAGAAGUUAAAAGCAAGUGUGAUUCUUAGGGGCUGGAUGGGGCUUUUUCUUUGUUUGCUAAGUGGAUGGGUGCAUUUUUAAAAAUAAGUUCACACUACUGUAGCUGAGGCUACUGUAGUAGUGUCCAGUUCCUGAUUCUCUGCCUUUUGCCUGCUGGGAUUUCAGAUAUGUUCCACCAAGUCCAGCUAAGGGUCUUAAGUGGACAAUUGAAAUUGAUCUUGAAUUACUUGAGAUACUGCAUGACAGACAAGCGCAUUACAGAGACAACUAAGUGCUUGGUAAGUGUGCUCUAAAAAAAAAACAACAACAACAACCACAACCAGCUCUAGCAUUUGAAGUAAAAGCUUUUAUGCUUUUCCACCCUUUAGCUGACACGAUCAAGACUUUAUUUUGUCAAAAGCACAUGUUAACUCUAUUGUCUAGGUGGCUUUAGAAAGCACCCUCUCUUGGCAUUGGGAGUGCAGCUCCGUGGUAAAGUACUUGCCCAUUCUUAUUCUCAACUAAACUGGAUUUUUCUGGCAUCUGGCACAAUUGAAAAGUCCUUAUCCUCUAGAAAUGUGUACUAAAAGCAUUUGCAAGUGAAAUGA